AGAGGUGGCAAGCGUUGUUCGGAAUUACUGGGCGUAAAGGGCGCGUAGGCGGUCUUAUAAGUCUCGUGUGAAAUCCCUCGGCUUAACUGAGGAACUGCACGGGAUACUGCAAGACUUGAGAUCGGGAGAGGGAAGCGGAAUUCCGGGUGUAGCGGUGAAAUGCGUAGAUAUCCGGAGGAACACCGGUGGCGAAGGCGGCUUCCUGGACCGACACUGACGCUGAGGCGCGAAAGCUAGGGGAGCAAACGGGAUUAGAUACCCCGGUAGUCCUAGCUGUAAACGAUGAGUGCUGGGUGUAGGGGGUAUAAACCCUCCUGUGCCGAAGCUAACGCAUUAAGCACUCCGCCUGGGGAGUACGGUCGCAAGGGUG
rnacentral:rRNA from 1 species